GCUAUUCAAACGGAUUUCUGACCCUUCAACUUUAGAUGGCAAAGUAGGGGUUUGCCAUGGUGACAACGGGUGACGGGGAAUUAGGGUUCGAUUCCGGAGAGGGAGCCUGAGAAACGGCUACCACUUCCGAGGAAGGCAGCAGGCGCGCAAAUUACCCAAUGCUAAUUCGGCGAGGUAGUGACAAGAAAUACCAAUGUAGGACCCAACGGGUACUACGUUUGGAAUGAGAACAAUUUAAAAACCUUAACGAGGAACAAUUGGAGGGCAAGUCUGGUGCCAGCAGCCGCGGUAAUUCCAGCUCCAAUAGUGUAUAUUAAAGUUGCUGCGGUUAAAAAGCUCGUAGUUGGAUUACGAAGUGGUGUUUAAAUGUCAUUUUGGUUUGUUUGUCUUUCGGGGCAUUCAGGUCAACUUGGCUUUUACUCACUGUUGUCAUUGUCUUUGCCCAAGGUAUAUGCCUUGUGUGCAUGGCAUUGACCUUCUAUUUUAUGGUAAUGUUGUAUCUUUCGGGGUACAUUCAUUCCAUAUAGUUUACUUUGAAAAAAUUAGGGUGUUUAAAGCAGGCGAAAAGGCUUCGGAAUAUAUUAGCAUGGGAUAAUAGAAUACGAUCUAGGUCGUAAUUUGUUGGUUUCUACGGCUUAGGUAAUGAUUGACAGGGAUAGUUGGGGUCGCUCGUAUUGAGUUGUCAGAGGUGAAAUUCUAGGAUUAACUCAAGACGAACUAAUGCGAAAGCAUUCGGCAAGGAUGUUUUCAUUAAUCAAGAACGAAAGUUGGGGGAUCGAAGAUGAUCAGAUACCGUCGUAGUCUCAACUGUAAACUAUGUCGACCGAGGAUCCGGUAGCGUUACAUGGAUGACCUUCCGGGCACUCUGUGAGAAAUCAUAAGUAUUUGGAUUUCGGGGGGAGUAUGGUCGCAAGGCUGAAACUUAAAGGGAUUGACGGAAGGGCACCACCAGGAGUGGAAUCUGCGGCUUAAUUUGACCCAACACGGGAAAACUUACCAGGUCCGGACACAGUGAGGAUUGACAGAUUGAGAGCUCUUUCUUGAUUUUGUGGGUGGUGGUGCAUGGCCGUUUUUUAGUUGGUGGAGUGAUUUGUCUGGUUAAUUCCGUUAACGAACGAGACCUUAACCUAUUAAAUAGCUGCGCGAACCCAGGUUCUUUAACCAUUCUCUCCUUCGGGGGGGCGUGGUAUCAUUAUUUUGCUUUUCACUUUCGGGUGGGAGGUAGGGUAGUGAUAGGGCCUGAGAUGAGUUGGUGAUUUGGCUUCUUAGAGGGACUACUUGCAUCCUUAGCAAGGGGAGGUUUGAGGCAAAAACAGGUCUGUGAUGCCCUUCGAUGUUCUGGGCUGCACGCGCGUUACACUGGCGCAUGCAAAGAGUUUAAAAUUCCUGUCCCGAUGGGGUUGGGAAAUCUUUUUAAAGUGCGUCGUGAUGGGGAUAGAGCAUUGAAAUUAUUGCUCUUGAACGAGGAAUUCCUAGUAAUUGCAGGUCAUCAACCUGCAAUGAUUACGUCCCUGCCCUUUGUACACACCGCCCGUCGCUCCUACCGAUGGUUGAACCGAUGAGGACUCGGGAUGAUCUUAUUAGAUCGGUCGGUCGAAAGAUCGAUAGACUAUUAGGUCAGAACUUGUUCAAAUCUUUUUAACUAGAGGAAGGAGAAGUCGUAACAAGGUU
rnacentral:rRNA from 1 species